rnacentral:misc_RNA from 1 species
GAUGAAGAACGUAGCGAAAUGCGAUACGUAAUGUGAAUUGCAGAAUUCAGUGAAUCAUCGAAUCUUUGAACGCAUAUUGCGCUCUCUGGUAUUCCGGAGAGCAUGCUUGUUUGAGUAUCAGUAAACACCUCAACUCCCUUUUCUUUUUUGAAAUUGGAGCUGGACUUGAGUGAUCCCAACGCUUUCUUCCAAGAAAGUGGCGGGUUGCUUGAAAUGCAGGUGCAGCUGAACUUUUCUCUGAGCUAUAAGCAUAUCUAUUUAGUCUGCCUAAAAAACAGAUUAUUACCUUUGCUGCAGCUAACAUAAAGGAGACUAGUUCUUGUGCUGACUGAUGCAGGAUUCACAGAGACAGCUUCGGCUGACUUUGAAAACUCGAUCUCAAAUCAAGUAAGACUACCCGCUGAACUUAAGCAUAUCAAUAAGCGGAGGA